UACGUAGGGGGCAAGCGUUAUCCAGAUUUACUGGGCGUAAAGCGUGCGCAGGCGGUUCGCCAAGUCAGGUGUGAAAUCCCCGGGCUUAACCUGGGAAUUGCGCUUGAAACUAGCGGGCUUGAGUGUGGCAGAGGGGGGUGGAAUUCCACGUGUAGCAGUGAAAUGCGUAGAGAUGUGGAGGAACACCGAUGGCGAAGGCAGCCCCCUGGGUCAACACUGACGCUCAUGCACGAAAGCGUGGGGAGCAAACAGG
rnacentral:rRNA from 1 species